GAUGAACGCUGGCGGCGUGCCUAAUACAUGCAAGUCGAGCGAACAGACGAGGAGCUUGCUCCUCUGACGUUAGCGGCGGACGGGUGAGUAACACGUGGAUCACCUACCUAUAAGACUGGGAUAACUUCGGGAAACCGGAGCUAAUACCGGAUAAUAUAUUGAACCGCAUGGUUCAAUAGUGAAAGACGGUUUUGCUGUCACUUAUAGAUGGAUCCGCGCCGCAUUAGCUAGUUGGUAAGGUAAAGGCUUACCAAGGCAACGAUGCGUAGCCGACCUGAGAGGGUGAUCGGCCACACUGGAACUGAGACACGGUCCAGACUCCUACGGGAGGCAGCAGUAGGGAAUCUUCCGCAAUGGGCGAAAGCCUGACGGAGCAACGCCGCGUGAGUGAUGAAGGUCUUCGGAUCGUAAAACUCUGUUAUUAGGGAAGAACAAAUGUGUAAGUAACUAUGCACGUCUUGACGGUACCUAAUCAGAAAGCCACGGCUAACUACGUG
rnacentral:rRNA from 1 species